UCUUUUCUCUUUCUCCCUGCUUUCUUUCUUAUUUCUUUCUACCCAGUUCGACCCUCUCUCUACGGUGUACUAUUCAUCAUCUUCCUCCUCCAUUCUCCUUCAUCUUUCACUCAACUUCAAGCCAAAAACUUGGGUUUUUGUGGGAUUUUCGGGUUUCUCUCUAGAUUUCUAGGUGUUCUUGAGUCUUUGGUGAAGCUUUUGAGCUUUCUCCAAGAGAAUUUCUUGCUCAAUGACGAUGUUUGGCACUAUUGGAGUUGGAUUGCAAGGCCCUUGCCUUGUUGGUUAUAUGUUGGUGUCUUGCUUGGAAUUCAUGGACUUCAAGGGGGAGAAAUCUCUGACUUACUCUUGUCAUUAUUUACUCUUGUCUCUAAUUUCAAUUUGUGAUUAUUUACUUGUUUCUUUUUGUUUUAUAAAUAACUUGUGUUUUUCUUUCAUACUUGGACUUUUCAUUGAAAUUACUUUCAAGAAAAUACUUUGUAACAUUGAGGACAAUGUUAAGUUCAAGUGUGGGGGGAUUGUGUGUUAUUGUUUUUUUGAUUAAAUAAAUAAAUUAAAAAAAAAAAAAGUCUUUUCUUUUCUAGUUUUGUGUGUGUAUUUUUUUAGGUUCCUUCCAACACCAAUGAUGAACUUGAGCUUAAUAUAAAUGUGGGCUAGAAAGCAUGUUUGGGUCUUAUGAGCUUUAUUUUUCAAAAUAAAUCACUAUGGAUCAAGUGUUUGCUUUCAUUUAUAUCCAUAUUUGUCAUGUCAAUAUAUUGAGCUAGAGAAGCAUAGUGAGACUUGUGGGAGCCAUUACAUGCCAUAUAGUGAGAUUUGAGCUUAAUUGGAGUGCAUACAUGCCUUAUAAGCACUGAUUUCUUCAUGAGUGAACAUCUCAUUUGCUUUGCAUCUCUAGAACUUGCUUCAUAUCUUUCGAAACUCUUUGUCUCAAUGUUACAUCUUGGAAAUGAUUUAGGCAACUAGGAAUCCACCAUGGCCAAAUGAGUAUGUCCCAAAAGAUUGAAUAUCCUUAGAUUGCCAUUUUGAGCCUUUGUGUAAUUAGCCUUUCAAUUCUUCACACCAUAAAUGUUUACCCUUAACUUAAACACUUGCCUUACCCUUUCAAGUUUUCUUAAUGAGCAAUACGAGAUUGUUUGUGUUAUGAUGCUAAAAGAAACAAGUUUGGGGGUACUCGGAAAAGAAUAAGUUUGGGGGUGUUCUUUGUUUUGCAAUUUUACUUUUUAUUAGUGAAAAAAAAAAAAAAAAAAAAAAAAAGAAGAAGAAGAAGUGAAA